CAGUCGCCGCGGUAAUACGUAGGUGGCAAGCGUUGUCCGGAAUUAUUGGGCGUAAAGGGCUCGCAGGCGGUUUCUUAAGUCUGAUGUGAAAGCCCCCGGCUCAACCGGGGAGGGUCAUUGGAAACUGGGAAACUUGAGUGCAGAAGAGGAGAGUGGAAUUCCACGUGUAGCGGUGAAAUGCGUAGAGAUGUGGAGGAACACCAGUGGUGAAGGCGACUCUCUGGUCUGUAACUGACGCUGAGGAGCGAAAGCGUGGGGAGCGAACAGGAUUAGAUACCCCAGUAGUCCCUGUCUCUUAUAC
rnacentral:rRNA from 1 species